GAUUAACGCUGGCGGCGUGCCCAACACAUGCAAGUCGAACGAGGUAGCAAUACCUAGUGGCAGACGGGUGAGUAACGCGUGGUCAACCUACCGUUGAGUGGGGGAUAACUAGCCGAAAGGUUAGCUAAUACCGCAUACGAGUCUCGGGGGCAUCCCUGGGCCUUAAAAGGAGCAAUCCGCUCGAUGACGGGACCGCGUCCCAUUAGCUAGAUGGUGGGGUAAUGGCCUACCAUGGCUCCGAUGGGUAGCUGGUUUGAGAGAGCGACCAGCCACACUGGGACUGAGAAACGGCCCAGACUCCUACGGGAGGCAGCAGUGAGGAAUUUUCCGCAAUGGGCGAAAGCCUGACGGAGCGACGCCGCGUGUGGGAAGAAGGCCUUCGGGUCGUAAACCACUGUCGAAGGGGACGAUAAUGACGGUACCCUUGGAGGAAGCCCCGGCUAACUACGUGCCAGCAGCCGCGGUAAGACGUAGGGGGCGAGCGUUAUUCGGAAUUAUUGGGCGUAAAGCGCUCGUAGGCGGGAUCGAUAGUCCGUGAAGAAAGACCUGGGCUCAACUCAGGGAACGGCACGGAUACU
rnacentral:rRNA from 1 species